UACAGAGGGGGCCAGCGUUAUUCGGAAUUAUUGGGCGUAAAGGGCACGUAGGCGGCCAUGCGUGUCUUCCGUGAAAUCCCUCGGCUCAACCGAGGACGUGCGGAAGAAACUGCAAGGCUCGAGUCCGGAAGAGGGGGGCGGAAUUCCCAGUGUAGCGGUGAAAUGCGUAGAUAUUGGGAGGAACACCAGUGGCGAAGGCGGUCCCCUGGGCCGGAACUGACGCUGAGGCGCGAAAGCGUGGGUAGCAAACGGG
rnacentral:rRNA from 1 species